UACGGAGGGUGCAAGCGUUAUCCGGAUUCACUGGGUUUAAAGGGUGCGUAGGUUGACCGGGAAGUCAGUGGUGAAAUACUCUCGCUUAACGAGAGAACUGCCGUUGAUACUAUCGGUCUUGAAUACGGUGGAGGCGGGCGGAAUGUGUCAUGUAGUAGUGAAAUACUUAGAUAUGACACAGAACACCUAUUGCGAAGGCAGCUCGCUACGCCGUCAUUGACACUGAGGCACGAAAGCGUGGGGAUCAAACAGG
rnacentral:rRNA from 1 species